rnacentral:rRNA from 1 species
UACGUAGGGUGCGAGCGUUGUCCGGAAUUAUUGGGCGUAAAGAGCUCGUAGGCGGUCUGUCGCGUCGAUCGUGAAAACUUGGGGCUUAACCCUGAGCUUGCGGUCGAUACGGGCAUGACUGGAGUUCGGCAGGGGAGACUGGAAUUCCUGGUGUAGCGGUGAAAUGCGCAGAUAUCAAGUGGAACACCAGUGGCGAAGGCGAGUCCCUGGACAACUCCUGACACUGAGGCACGAAAGCUAGGGGAGCAAACAGG